CGGCGACGGGGGCGGUUCGCCGCCCCCGACGUCGCGAGAAGUCCAUUGAACCUUAUCAUUUAGAGGAAGGAGAAGUCGUAACAAGGUUUCCGUAGGUGAACCUGCGGAAGGAUCAUUG
rnacentral:ncRNA from 1 species